rnacentral:lncRNA from 1 species
CUUCCAGGUUUGUCUCGGGAAGUCUGAACGAGGAGUAGCUAUCUGGAAUGGAUACAAGAGCAGAGGAGAGACUGCCCAGGGACUGCAUCUGAAAUUGAAUGCUUCAAACAAGAGUUCACUGACAGGAGGAGGUCAUUGAAUUAUUAUCCGUACAGGUACCACAAUCAUGGCACCAAUCAGCACAGAUCUAGCAGGCUGGGCGGUCACAGAGCAACCAGAGGCUGCAUUUCUUUCCAUAGUCGUCCUCUUCAUCGUUAGCAUCGCACUCCUCGUUCUCUGUGCAAGCUGUAAAAAACAUUCAUUUGAGUUAGACAGCCACAGCACACCCGAGCAACAGAAAGCAUCCACACUUGUGAGCGUGGCAAAAAUGGAUGAUUCAAGAGGUGCCAGACAAAACCCUGCUGCUAAUGACAUCACAGAAGAUGAAAUCGGUUUAGAGGCUGUGGAGGGUGACGUUGCGUACAGACCGUGGAGAAGUCACACUCUCACUCACGGUUCAAGCCUACAACCUCAAAUAAAUGGAGGGGUUGGGACCGCGACAGAGGGUUCGGUAACACUUCAAGCUCUCUGAGAAAGUGACAAAAGUGGAGUCGCUGUUGUAGGCGAAACACCACCGACUUUGAAUGCCUGCAGAGAGGUCCACCAUCUUUAUUAUGCAACCUCAAAUGCUCAAACUAAACAAACCCCUUCACUAUUUGGAGAUAAAUGGUUUCUGUAUCCUCCUGAAGCCAGGCUGAGGUCCUGCUUUGUGGCAUUGACUCCCAUAAGUGCCCAUCAAACUUUGAGACUAUAGGAACUAUAGGAGCCCCCCGAUCGGUCCCUCAGCAUUGACUGGACUGAUUCAAAGCUGAAUCCUUAUGCAAUGGUUCAGACAGUCUCAGACAAGAAUGGUCAGUGUCCCUUAGGGGAGGGAGCCUGAUCUUCUGGCCACACCUGUUUUGACAAAUAGGGAUCUCUAUUCAGGUGGCCACAGAUUAAAUGCAACAUAAACAAGAAAAUCAGGUGUCAUCUCCAUCUGAAGAGGAGGGAGAAGUGUCGGCAUCAUUACCAAAGAGACCUAAACAAAAAUGAAGGUUUUCCUUUUAAUCUUUUUCUAAUGAAGUCCAGUAUUGUGAAAUUAUUCUGUAUUCAUAUUCAUUCUUAGUAGGGGCGCAAUAUAGACUUUAUCUCUCAGAUCAACUGGUCUGUAUACGUUUAAGUUUAUGGAUUUAAAUAGCAGCAUACUAGUGAUUACUUUUAGGUUUUGAACAAAUGUAUGAAUUCCAGUGGGCAUGAAUGAUGUAAUUAAAGUAACAGAUGCUUUAGAAUUAACCCUCUUGUUCUGGUGAGAUUGACUUUAUUCUUUUAUUAAGGGAAAUAUUUGCUCC